UACGAAGGGGGCUAGCGUUGCUCGGAAUCACUGGGCGUAAAGCGCACGUAGGCGGAUUGUUAAGUCGGGGGUGAAAUCCUGGAGCUCAACUCCAGAACUGCCUUCGAUACUGACGAUCUCGAGUCCGGGAGAGGUGAGUGGAACUCCGAGUGUAGAGGUGAAAUUCGUAGAUAUUCGGAAGAACACCAGUGGCGAUGGCGGCUCACUGGCCCGGUACUGACGCUGAGGUGCGAAAGCGUGGGGAGCAAACAGG
rnacentral:rRNA from 1 species